rnacentral:misc_RNA from 1 species
UGCUCGGCACGCCGGGAACAUCGCGCUGCAUCUGCACCAUUUGGCUUAGUCCUCUUUAUGCAUUUCUACUUUCUGGUUGCUACGUUUCGGCACCUUCAAAAGGCACGUACGCCAUGUUAACUAUUUAAUGUGUAUCACGUGCUUAUGUGCCGUCUUCUGAAGUGUUGUUUUCCGGGUGCCUAUUGCCUUCGGCCCCACCUGGGAUUUUAUCAGCAAGGUGUGAAAACGCGACCGACAGUGCAGGAAAGCUGCACGGUACGUGCUGCGCGGCUCUCUGGUGCGCAGACACGGGUCGAAGCAUCCAGACCAUGUUUUGCACUUCGCCGCGGACGAAAGGUGUGGGGCACCUCCGGAAGGCUGCUAUCUCCAAGAAGGCAUAGACAGACCGUUCCCGCGCUGCUGUAGAGUCCGUUGUCCUGAGAUGAGUGUUUGUGUCACAAGUAAUGGCUCUUUGAUGAAAAGUGGAGAGACCCUUAACUCAUCAGAUCCAUGCUUGCGUUACACGUGCAGAAACGGAAUCCUGUUGACACAGGGGUGCCCAAUACCAUCGGAGACCUCAUGUGCUGUCCCUUAUACAAAUACAGGCUUGCCUUACCCAGAAUGCUGUGGCUUGAAGAGAGACUGUAUCGGUUGAAAGAUCGGAUGCUAACUCAAAACCUCGACAGGAAUAGAAAUAAAAAAAAU